AUUUGUCCCAUCCGACUGAGAAGGCUGUUUUUCUGGAUGGAUCUCUAUUUAUGCAUGAGGAAACUUGGCACUGGUGAAGCGGUAGCUUAUUUUUCCUUUUUGUUUGGUUUCAUUUUGUGCUUCAGAAAUAGAACAGAUUAAGCAUUACUUACUUUUGAAGGUUCCAGCUCUCCCUACAGCGUGACUUUAAAUUCUGUUCUCCCCAGGCGAGAACGUGGAAGACAUCUCUCCUAGUUUUUGUUAUAAGCAAAUGCAGGGAGGACUUGGGAGGGUUUUUUUUUUUUUUAGUUUAAUUUUAUUUACAUUUCUUUGAAAAUCUUUUCUUCCUAUGAAAAAAUGCUCAUUCUAAAGGAAUUAGAACAAAUUGAAAAAAUGCAAAAAAGAAAAAAAUUGGAGGUAAUGAAAAUGAUGAAAUAAGAUGAUGUUAGAGCUAGAAGGGACCUUAGAAAUAUCCUAACCAAACUCAACAAGCUAUUUUAUAAAUGAUGAAAUUGGGGCUCAGAGAAUUUAAGCAACAUGCCCCAGGUCACAUGGGUAAUAAGAUGACUGUGAAUUAGAAUCUUUUUCUCUUUUGAUUAAUCUUUUUCUAUUGUACCAGGGAGUUACAUUUUUUUUUUCCCUUUUAGUGGUGAGACUCUAAGUCAAAUCUUACUUGGAAGCCCAACAUGUAGAACAAGGGUGUUGUGGUUGAAUGGGAGCAGGUGGGGGGAGGGAGAGCUGCAGGUCUGGUCUCCUUCCCUCCCAUCAUCCCCAGAGUUAAUAUGAGGCAUCCCUAGAGAAUGCUUGAGAUUUUCUUUCUGCUUUUUUUGUUUUUUAGGGUCGUAGAUGCAGCAUAUGGAAGUUCCCAGGCUAAGGGUUGCAUUGGAGAUAAAGCUGCCAGCAAACACUGCAGGCACAGCAACACCAGAUCUGAGCCGCAUCUUUGACCUACACCACAGCUCAGAGCAACGCUGGAUCCUUAACCCCUCCCAGCGAGGGCAGGGAUGGAACCUGCAUCCUCCUGGAAACUCUUUGGGUUCAUUACUGCUGAGCCACAAUGGGUACACCUGCUUCAGAUUUUCUGAGGCAAUAUUUGAUACCUGUAAUAACCACUGCCUGAUAACCAUUUUUUAAAUUUAUUCACCAACUGUUUAUUGAGUGUUUACUAUGUGCCAGGCACCUUCUGAGGUGAAAGGAAUAUGUAUAGCCUUGGACAAAACAGACAGAAGGACAGGCAGUAUGUGUAGGGGGGCAUGAGGGUGGUAUAGAUACAGGCUGUCUCUCCUGGGCUCUGUCUCCUGCUGGCCCUUGUCAGCCUUCUCUCUUCCUUCUGUCUAGUUUUUGAUACCCUGUUGUCCCUGGAAUCGAGGACAACAGUGGAUCUAGAACAUCCUGCAAAUCCUAUUUUUUUUUUCUGACUUAAUUUGAAUAACUCAUCUUUAUUUGUUCUAGAAAGAGCCAGUAUUUCUCAGUGUUCAUUUGGAGCCAUCCAUUUCUCUCACAAGAGGCUUAGUAGUUGCCCUGAGACCUUUUCUGUUUCCACUUUGAUUAGAGGUGAGGAACUUGGCCAUUCUGAAGGCUGCCACUUCAGCAUUUUUUGGACAAACUUAGUAAGGAAACGAUGCAUCCCAAUUUAACAGAGGUUAAAAAAAUAGCAUUUUUUGGAGGGAAAUUGUCCCCUAAUUAGGUGAUUAUACAGUCACCCCAUUUCCAACAAGAGCAGUAAACUCAAAUCCGGAAGGUUAGCUGAACCUCUUUCCAGUUGGUCAUGUGGUCCUCCACUUGACUGCAGCCUCCAGCGCAAAGCAGGAAGGGCAGACGGAGGGUGUUGGGGUCGCUGGCUUGGGCGAGUGACUUACCUUCCUUGAGCCUUAGCCUCCUCACCCAUAUAUUAACAUAAUGUGCAUGAAGUUAGAGUCAUUGUGUGAUUAAAAGAAAAAGCAUCCCGUUAAAGCAGCACAGAGCCUGGCCCAGGGGUGGACGCGUAAUACAUAUUGUUUCCAUCCUCCCUUUCCUUUGAAUCUGAAGAACACAUUUCUGAAGACAUAGAGAAACAGGACUCCUCCUGGGGGUUGUGUCAAAAUGCAAAAUCAGAAUCAGUAAGUCUGGGGGUGGGGCCAAAGUCUUCUUUUCCAACAGGUUUCCAUGCAGUAACUGCAUCUAAAGCCUGCAGACAUGGAUGCUGAGUCACUUUGGAGUCAGCCAUAUGCUUGGAUCCCUGUUCCAUAUGCUUGAAUCCCUGUUUUUUAUUUUUUCUUUCAUUUUUGGCUGCCCUGCGGCACAAGGAGCUCUCGGGCCAGGGAUCAGAUCCGAGUUGCAGUCACCACCUAAGCGCAGCUGCGGCAAACCAGAUCCUUCCCCGACCCUGCGGGGCAGGGGAUGGAGCCUGUGUCCCAGAGCUCCCAAGACACCUCGGAUCCUGUUGUGCCACAGUGGGAGCUCCUGCAUCCCAGCUUUGCUAGUUGCUGGCUGGUUGAUCUCAGGCAAGCCAUGUCCCCUUUCUCAGUGUCCCACCUGGAGUGAUGGGGCAUCACAGGAACAGUGAAGACUGGAAAUGAGACAGUGGGUGCCGGGAACAGCACCAUUACUGUCUUGGUCAUAGUUACUUUAAAUCUAUUAGACCAAAGGCUGAAAACGCUGACAUUGAGAACGGCACCCAGCCCAGGGCCGCUCAAAGGAGGUGGACCACAGAUGCUGGCUCGCACUGCACAUGUGAUAUUCACACUGGCAGAAGCUGUCCAGAAACUGGGAAAGGUUGCUACCUUGUCUGAAAGUGGAGGCACUCAGGCCCUGGUGGGAAUUUGAGGGGGUGGUCUUUGAGCUCCUUUUUCUAAGGAAAACCAAGUAUUUGUCAGUCAUCCAGGUCUGAACAGAAGGAGGGAUGAUCAUUAAUUUUUUGUUAUGUUCUUUCUGGAAAACGGGAUUCCAGGGUGUGGGGCUCUUACUGUAACCUCUGGAACUGGAGGCCGGGAGAGCUGAGUCUCGUGUAGCUGGUGAGGUGGCUGUGGGAUGGUGUGGGGAGUUUAUUCCAGACAGGAUUCUCUGCAUUGUGCCAGCUGUUUCAUGGUCCCCCGGGGGCAUCCUCAGGAGAGUGGCAGCCUCCAACCCCGUGUUUUCCUGCCUCUUCCUUUGCCUCUGUUUUGUGAACUUUUAGGACUCCAUUUAAAAGCAUUUUUUAAAAUUAAAUUUAAAAGAAAAAAUUUCAUAAGUAGUGUAUGCCUGUGCUGGAAAAACAGAAAAUAUAAGUGACCAAAUGACCAACACAGAAGUUAUUUACACCAGAAGGUGGCACACUUUCAUUGGAAAGGGGCAGAUAGGAGAUACUUGAGGCUCUGUGGGCUGUACAAGCUCUGUCACUAUACCAUUGUCGUUUCAAGGAAGCAACCAUAAAUAAUAUGCAGCUGGAGUUCUGGCUGCGGCUCAGCGGUAAUGAAUCCAACUAGUAUCCAUGAGGAUGUGGGUUCAAUCCCUGGCCUCGCUCAGUGGGUUAAAGGAUCUGGCAUUGCCAUCAGCUGUGGUGUAGGUCUCAGUUGUGGCUUGGAUCCAGUGUUGCUAUGGCUGUUGCAUAGGCUGGCAGCUACAGCUCUGAUUUGACCCCUAGCCUGGGAACCUCCAUACACUGUGGGUGUGGCCCUGGAAAGACCCCCAAAAAAGGUGGGGGGAAUUGAGGAGUUUCCUGGUGACCUCGUGGUUAAGGACUGGCAUUGUCAUGGCUAGGUCUUGGGUCAUGCUGUGGUGUGGACUCGAUCCCUGGCUGGGGAACUUCGGCAUGCCAGGGCC
rnacentral:lncRNA from 1 species